GCCCGCAACCGAAUACUCAGACCCGGGCCGGCGCGCCGUGGGCUACCCGUGCCGCACCCCCUUCGGGUCUACUCGGACAAGCCUCGGAAAGUCCAGCGCCCCUCGGGGUCGGCUACACUUGUGCACGUUCAUUUAUUCACUGUCAUUUGCUGCAACACCUGGUACCAGGUAGAAGAGACAGAAGAGAGAAAGUGGAAGCUGUGAAAGGGAAAAGAAUAUGCCCACUCUGCUGAGUUGUUGUUUUCUGUUCUUUAGGAUCUUGAAGUACUUUACAGACAUUACUUAACUGAAUCUUCCAGAAUGCCAAGGAAAAGUUUCCAAAUACAAUUUUUGCGCGUUUUGCAGAUGGCUGAACUGAUGCGGUGGUAGGACUUGUCCCAGGCUAAAGAAAAGCUGUGAGCAAAAACAAAGAACUAUCAUGGAUUUAUUAUGACUAGAAACACACGGCCGAUCUGCCUUGACCUGUGGUGGGGUUACCUUCUAAUAAACCCAUCCUACAGUGAAAA